UUUCACCGCACAUUCUGUUCCUGACUGAGUAAAUUAACUGACUUCUUUGAUCAUCGCUUAAAAUUUACAGCACACUUAAAAGGAUUCAUUCAUUUUGUGAAAGAUAAAUAUCAUUAUUAUAAUUUUACUCAUUAAAUCAUUAAGCUUCAUUCAUCACAUUUGUUCGUAAACACUAAAGUCCCCCUUCUCAUAUCCAUAUGUCAUAAUAAAAUUAAAAUGAGGUUCGUAGAAACUUCUGAGAAAUAUCUUCGCAUUUGUCAGAAGAAAACAGCGAUACCAUACUCCAAAUGAGGAAUACUUUUAAUGCAUAAAAACACAAUAAAACAGCAUUAAUAUCAUCGGAGCAAACACCCAAUACCGAUAAGAAUAAUAAAAAAAAUACAACUAAAGAAAAAAAUAACUUGUACUUUCACGUUCUAUCUAAGAAAACUGAGCUUCAUCCACAUCUGUUUGAUCAUCCAUCGAAUCUUCAUCAUCUGUAUAAUUCUUAUCAGAAGAUAUUUGAUGAGAAACGAAGACAUCACUAUGUGGCUUAACAAAAUCCAAAGGCUUAAGUUCUCUAGCGGCCCGCAAAUUUUCCUAUAAUGAAAUUAGUAUGCGACGAUUUGAAUCAAAUAAAAAUAAAUAAAAGUAAACACAAACCAGCGAACUUACCCUAUUAUAGAUUUCUUCGUGCUCCACACGAAGGAUGUUCCACAUACAACGCCGCAUGAUCUCAGCAAGGGUCACAAAAAAACUAAUCCCUGAAGAGUGCUGAAUGUGGUUGGGAAAUAUGCAAUAGAAUAUAAAAGAGCUUCUAACGAUAAAAUUUAAGAUCAUAGCUAUAAUAUACGGCCACAACUGUUUUAGAAUUCGAUGCUCACGGAAUUGCCAACGACCAUCCUUUCGAACCAAAAGGUUCCAAUCCAUCAAAAUAUCCCACGUAUAAGAAAAAAGUGAAUUUACGCCAGCAAAAAUAGUAUACAAAACCCGAUAUUUCAAGCCGGGAUGAAUCCUCCACAGACUUAAAAACAUUUGGGCGAGGAUAUUAAAAAUAUAUUUUAGAGCAUUCACAAGAUGUGGAAAGCUUUUCAACGAAUCUGAAUAUCUUCGGAAACAUUGAAAAACACGUAAGAUGCCAGGCAAUGUGGUAAAGAAACCUAGCAAGGGAGAAUGUGAUGAGUUACAAAGCUGUGGUUGUCGCCAAAGUCGCUUAUAAAGGCAAAAGAACAAAGAUAUAUUACCGCAUGCAUAAGUUAGACUAACCAUUUGAUCAGCAAAAAAGAAAUCCUGAAAAUGGACAGUAGAAAGCCCAGAUAAAAACACACGGAUAAGCUGAAUUAUCAAGUAUCUUCGCAUUCUCCAAUAGGGAACAAUGACGGGGGCUAUUAAAAACGUGCCCACUACUCCCAAAAACAGGGCCGGAAAAUAUAUUGUGAAGCCAGGAAAGAAAUUUCUCAUACACAGGAAAAAGAACAGCGAAAAAAUAAAGAAGACUGCUCCUACGAUCUCCAAAUGCUGACGCCAGUUUAAAGAUUUUCUUUGAUUAAAUUCGAAAAUAAGCAUGUAGUUAACCCGUGUCUUCUCCCACACGUAACAGUCUAAAUCAAACAGUACGAACGCAAAAAUUACUAAAAAAAAACCUCCCCAUAUCUGAAGAAGGUAGG
rnacentral:lncRNA from 1 species